rnacentral:rRNA from 1 species
AUGCACGCUAGCUACAGGCUUCACACAUGCAAGUCGAGGGGAAACGGCAUCGAAAGCUUGCUUUUGAUGGGCGUCGACCGGCGCACGGGUGAGUAACGCGUAUCCAACCUGCCCAUCACUUGGGAAUAACCUUGCGAAAGUAAGACUAAUGCCCAAUGACAUCCCACGAAGGCAUCCGAAUGGGAUUAAAGAUUUAUCGGUGAUGGAUGGGGAUGCGUCUGAUUAGCUUGUUGGCGGGGUGACGGCCCACCAAGGCAACGAUCAGUAGGGGUUCUGAGAGGAAGGUCCCCCACAUUGGAACUGAGACACGGUCCAAACUCCUACGGGAGGCAGCAGUGAGGAAUAUUGGUCAAUGGGCGAGAGCCUGAACCAGCCAAGUAGCGUGCAGGAUGACGGCCCUAUGGGUGGUAAACUGCUUUUAUAAGGGAAUAAAGUGGGUCACGUGUGACUUUUUGCAUGUACCUUAUGAAUAAGGACCGGCUAAUUCCGUG